rnacentral:rRNA from 1 species
AUUGAACGCUGGCGGCAGGCCUAACACAUGCAAGUCGAACGGUAACAGGAAACAGCUUGCUGUUUCGCUGACGAGUGGCGGACGGGUGAGUAAUGUCUGGGAAACUGCCUGAUGGAGGGGAUAACUACUGGAAACGGUAGCUAAUACCGCAUAACGUCGCAAGACCAAAGAGGGGGACCUUCGGGCCUCUUGCCAUCGGAUGUGCCCAGAUGGGAUUAGCUAGUAGGUGGGUAACGCUCACCUAGGCACGAUCCCCUAGCUGGUCUGAGAGGAUGACCCAGCCACACUGGAACUGAGACACGGUCCAGACUCCUACGGGAGGCAGCAGUGGGGAAUGUUGCACAAUGGGCGCAAGUCCUGAUGCAGCCAUUGCCGCGUAGUA